AUGCGAAACGGCCCUUCGGGGCCGUCGCCGGAGCGUGGCGGCUCCGGCCUGACGAGCAGCCGAAA
rnacentral:hammerhead_ribozyme from 1 species